UGGGGAAUAUUGGACAAUGGGCGAAAGCCUGAUCCAGCCAUGCCGCGUGUGUGAAGAAGGUCUUCGGAUUGUAAAGCACUUUAAGUUGGGAGGAAGGGCAUUAACCUAAUACGUUAGUGUUUUGACGUUACCGACAGAAUCAGCACCGGCUAACUCUGUGCCAGCAGCCGCGGUAAUACAGAGGGUGCAAGCGUUAAUCGGAAUUACUGGGCGUAAAGCGCGCGUAGGUGGUUUGUUAAGUUGGAUGUGAAAUCCCCGGGCUCAACCUGGGAACUGCAUUCAAAACUGACUGACUAGAGUAUGGUAGAGGGUGGUGGAAUUUCCUGUGUAGCGGUGAAAUGCGUAGAUAUAGGAAGGAACACCAGUGGCGAAGGCGACCACCUGGACUAAUACUGACACUGAGGUGCGAAAGCGUGGGGAGCAAACA
rnacentral:rRNA from 1 species